UCAGGGGAGAGGGGGUCCUUCAGCCCAAAUUGUGAGAGGGCACAGGCCAGGCCGAGGGUCCCCACUGGUGCAGG
rnacentral:pre_miRNA from 1 species